UACAGAGGCCUCGAGCGUUAGGCGGAAUCACUGGGCUUAAAGCGCGUGUAGGCGGAUCGUUAAGUGUCUUGUGAAAUCCCACGGCUCAACCGUGGAACUGCUGGGCAUACUGGCGAUCUUGGGCCACUCAGGGGCGACCGGAACAAGCGGUGGAGCGGUGAAAUGCGUAGAUAUCGCUUGGAACGCCAAAGGUGAAGACAGGUCGCUGGGGGUGUGCCGACGCUGGAGACGCGAAAGCCAGGGGAGCAAACGGGG
rnacentral:rRNA from 1 species